UCCUACGGGGGGCUGCAGUAAGGAAUAUUGGUCAAUGGACGGAAGUCUGAACCAGCCAUGCCGCGUGCAGGAAGACGGCCCUAUGGGUUGUAAACUGCUUUUGCAGGGGAAUAAACCUUCGUAUGUAUACGAAGCUGAAUGUACUCUGAGAAUAAGGAUCGGCUCACUCCGUGCCAGCAGCCGCGGUAAUACGGAGGAUCCGAGCGUUAUCCGGAUUUAUUGGGUUUAAAGGGUGCGUAGGCGGCUUUUUAAGUCAGGGGUGAAAGACGGUAGCUUAACUAUCGCAGUGCCCUUGAUACUGAAGAGCUUGAAUGUAGUUGAGGUAGGCGGAAUGUGACAAGUAGCGGUGAAAUGCAUAGAUAUGUCACAGAACACCAAUUGCGAAGGCAGCUUACUAAGCUAUGAUUGACGCUGAGGCACGAAAGCGUGGGGAUCAAACAGGAUUAGAUACCCCAGUAGUC
rnacentral:rRNA from 1 species